rnacentral:tmRNA from 1 species
GGGGCUGACUGGAUUUGACAGCAAGUUGAAGCGGUGUGUAAGCAUGUGGAGCGGUGGCGGUAGGCUCCUUAAUCUCUGCUGUCGAACAUUUAUCUGGCGAAACACGUUACGCUCUCGCUGCCUAAACGAAGUACAGUAGUUUACUGGCCUAAUCCCGACACAAGGUGUUGGGACGAGACAUCGCUCAGAAGCUCUUGUUCCGAAGCGUCUGGUAAAGCGGUGUAGGAAAUUCGGGAAUAGUCCGGAGGCAGCCUCGGCCGAAGGAUGAGACUUUAGAGGCUAAGGUGCCGGUUGGUGGUCCGGGUCUUGUCGGCACUCGAAAAUGAAGUCCGGAAUAAACAUGUAGAAAGCAUAUUGGUUCCUUGUGUGGACGGGAGUUCGAUUCUCCCCAGCUCCACUU